rnacentral:rRNA from 1 species
UAACGAAUCUUCCGCAAUGGGCGAAAGCCUGACGGAGCAAUGCCGCGUGCGGGAUGAAGCUUCUUCGAAGUGUAAACCGCUGUCAGGGUUUAGCAACAAUGAGCAGACCCAGAGGAAGGGCCGGCUAAUUCCGUGCCAGCAGCCGCGGUAAUACGGAAGGCCCGAGCGUUAAUCGGAAUCACUGGGCUUAAAGCGUGCGCAGGCGGACCGGCAGGCAUCUCGUGAAAUCCCACAGCUCAACUGUGGAACUGCGGGGUGAACCGCCGGUCUUGAGGCAAGUAGGGGCUGACGGAACUAUGGGUGGAGCGGUGAAAUGCGUAGAUAUCCAUGGGAACGCCGAUGGCGAAGGCAGUCAGCUGGGCUUGACCUGACGCUCAGGUACGAAAGCGUGGGGAGCGAACGGGAUUAGAUACCCGUGUAGUCC